GAUGAACGCUGGCGGCGUGCCUAAUACAUGCCAGUCGAGCGAACAGAUAAGGAGCUUGCUCCUUUGACGUUAGCGGCGGACGGGUGAGUAACACGUGGGUAACCUACCUAUAAGACUGGGAUAACUUCGGGAAACCGGAGCUAAUACCGGAUAACAUUUGGAACCGCAUGGUUCUAAAGUGAAAGAUGGUUUUGCUAUCACUUAUAGAUGGACCCGCGCCGUAUUAGCUAGUUGGUAAGGUAACGGCUUACCAAGGCGACGAUACGUAGCCGACCUGAGAGGGUGAUCGGCCACACUGGAACUGAGACACGGUCCAGACUCCUACGGGAGGCAGCAGUAGGGAAUCUUCCGCAAUGGGCGAAAGCCUGACGGAGCAACGCCGCGUGAGUGAUGAAGGGUUUCGGCUCGUAAAACUCUGUUAUUAGGGAAGAACAAAUGUGUAAGUAACUGUGCACGUCUUGACGGUACCUAAUCAGAAAGCCACGGCCAACUACGUG
rnacentral:rRNA from 1 species